rnacentral:rRNA from 1 species
ACGCCGCGUGAGGGAUGACGGCCUUCGGGUUGUAAACCUCUUUCAGUACCGACGAAGCGCAAGUGACGGUAGGUACAGAAGAAGGACCGGCCAACUACGUGCCAGCAGCCGCGGUAAUACGUAGGGUCCGAGCGUUGUCCGGAAUUAUUGGGCGUAAAGGGCUCGUAGGCGGUUUGUCGCGUCGGGAGUGAAAACCUACAGCUCAACUGUGGGCUUGCUUCCGAUACGGGCAGACUAGAGGUAUGCAGGGGAGAAUGGAAUUCCUGGUGUAGCGGUGAAAUGCGCAGAUAUCAGGAGGAACACCGGUGGCGAAGGCGGUUCUCUGGGCAUUACCUGACGCUGAGGAGCGAAAGUGUGGGGAGCGAACAGGAUUAGAUACCCUGGUAGUCCACACCGUAAACGUUGGGCGCUAGGUGUGGGACCUAUUCCAUGGGUUCCGUGCCGUAGCUAACGCAUUAAGCGCCCCGCCUGGGGAGUACGGCCGCAAGGCUAAAACUCAAAGG